rnacentral:lncRNA from 1 species
AAAGUUUUGUCAUUCAAAUGUUUUAGACAUGUCAAUUAUCAAACAAUUUUUUUUAUUCAGAUUCAGAUUCAACUCAUUCAGAUUCAGUUCAUUCAGAUUUAGAUUCAGAUUCAUUCAAUUUUUAUCAAACACCUCCUAAGAGUUCCCUGUAACAAAGUCGCACAGGUUUCCAAAUUUGACAAGACCGGAAAAAUAAAUAGUCUAUACAACCUUGUUCUUGUAAAU